UUGUUCCAGUGAAUGCUUGUCUUCGACAGAUGUGACCAUCACCUGACGCAACCAAGCGUUAUUUAUUUCAACCCCUCAAACAACAAUGCAUCUGGACAUCUCAUUGGAGGUUAUCACCAAAAGACUGAUGUAAACCACUCGCAUUAAUUCCACGAUGCCCGUGAUAUCAUCCGGGGUGCCUCUUUCCUCGGCCAGCCCCUUCACAAUCUUUAGCGAUGGGCCUGGCGGAGUAACCCGACCGGAGUUUGACCACUCUGUUGCCAUGAGCGGCCUUGACACAUACACCUACUUCGAGAAUCAAGCAAGGCUGCAGGCAGAGCGAGAGAACAACCAGAUCAUCAACUACGAGGACACCAAAGCGGCCAAACUGAGCGUGGCCCUAAUCUUCCUGGGAAUGCUCCUCCUCAUUUUCGAAGUCUGCAAAACUCUUAUGGACCUAUUUCUCUAUUUUGUCGGAGCAGGCUACUGGGGCGGACUGAUAUACGGGAUGGCCGGUGUGAUAGGGUAUCUCUCCUACAAACAUAAAACAUACCGCCUUGUUUUAUGGACCGUAUGGACUUCAAUAGUCUGCCUCAUUGUUUCCCUUGUGAUAUUCGGAAUUGAGGUCGCGGCGUUUUCAACCGGAAAUGACGACGGUCGUCUCCGGAAGCCUUUCGUUCAUGUGAUUAUGUUAAUUCUUGCCUUAUUUGGAAGUAUUUGCUCAUUAAUGCUGAUGGAGUGUGGACGGACGAUCGUGUUCGGGAAGAAGCCGCCGCCGACGGAAAGCUGUUCGACGAUCGACGACCGGUCAGGAUACUGAUGAACGGAAGUUCGGUAAAUUCGGAAAUAUUUGUGAUCCGGAAAUGAAAUUGGUGUAGUGAUAGGACAACAUGUACUUGUACACUUAUCUGGCUAUUCGAGUACACUCUUCCGUAUGCUCCCAUUCGUGUCCACCGUAUGUAAAGAUAAUAUAUGUUUACCUUCGCAACACCAUAUAUAGUGUUAGAGUUUUGGAGGAUCUAAUGAAAUAUGCCAGCUUCUCAAAACGCCCCUCAAAAUGUCUGUAAAUAAAACAUGCUGAACAUUGUUUUCCUGCAUUUUGGGGGUUCCCCUAAAUGCUUGAUAAAUAUAGCGGUUUAAACACUUUAAUACUAGUGAAAUUUUGAAUCGACAUUCCCAUACUGUUUUUGGGCAGCGUCCGCCCAGUUUACGAAGAUCCCGCCAAAUCAACUUGGUCUGUGUACAUGUAACGCAAUGCUGGUCGUCGCGACAGGAAAUUGAUUCGCUCGGUAAUAUCAAUUGGGUCAUUUUACGGUGUGUUAUUAUAAAAAUGGUGUCCGCGAUGGAGGGCGAUCUACCAAAAUGCCGAAUUAUCAGCAUACCACAAGGAAAGGGUCGCCUUUUGGAGCGGUACGAAUCGGCAACGCGUUUGAUACGGGCUUGAUAGGGAGUUUUCGCAAAUCCCGCGAAAAGCCCACACAAACGCCUGUCCAAUUAGUGUUCGAUGUCGAACAGUGGGACAGGCGUUCACGUAGGCGUUUCAGGUGAUUUGCGACAACUUCCUCCUCUUAGGGGGUUUAGCAAGGCCCGAUUGUCUCAUAAGAAGGGGGCCGCUUCUAAAUACACCUUCUCCUUAAUCAAAGUUAAUAUUUGU